rnacentral:rRNA from 1 species
UACGUAGGGUGCGAGCGUUAAUCGGAAUUACUGGGCGUAAAGCGUGCGUAGGCGGUUCGUUAAGUUCGUUGUGAAAGCCCCGGGCUCAACCUGGGAAUGGCAAUGGAAACUGGCGGGCUUGAGUAUGGCAGAGGGGGGUGGAAUUCCGUGUGUAGCAGUGAAAUGCGUAGAGAUGCGGAGGAACACCGAUGGCGAAGGCAGCCCCCUGGGCCAAUACUGACGCUCAGGCACGAAAGCGUGGGGAGCAAACAGG